rnacentral:rRNA from 1 species
UACGGAGGGUGCAAACGUUGCUCGGAAUCAUUGGGCGUAAAGCGCGUGUAGGCGGCCAGGUAAGUCCGUUCUGAAAGCCCGGGGCUCAACCCCGGGAGGCGGAUGGAUACUGCUUGGCUCGAGUCCGGAAGAGGUGAGUGGAAUUCCCGGUGUAGCGGUGAAAUGCGCAGAUAUCGGGAGGAACACCAAUGGCGAAGGCAGCUCACUGGGACGGUACUGACGCUGAGACGCGAAAGCGUGGGGAGCAAACAGG